rnacentral:lncRNA from 1 species
CCUCUCGUGGAUGUGGCUCCUCCUCUCAAUCGGCUCUGCUCCAUGAGGAGGGUGACUGCAUCUGUAACAUGUCCAAGCUGUGUGAUAAUAGACGUAGUGGCUCUGCUAUGUGUAGUGGAGAGCUCAGUCACCGACGUCUGAAGCCCAGUCACCGACGUCUGAAGUGCGUCCAGCUUGUCGAUGAGCACAUUCGACAAGCGCUC